UAUGAAGGGGGCUAGCGUUGCUCGGAAUCACUGGGCGUAAAGGGUGCGUAGGCGGGUCUUUAAGUCAGGGGUGAGAUCCUGGAGCUCAACUCCAGAACUGCCUUUGAUACUGAGGAUCUUGAGUUCGGGAGAGGUGAGUGGAACUGCGAGUGUAGAGGUGAAAAUUCGUAGAUAUUCGCAAGAACACCAGUGGCGAAGGCGGCUCACUGGCCCGAUACUGACGCUGAGGCACGAAAGCGUGGG
rnacentral:rRNA from 1 species